GAGACCUGGCGCCGGGCGCUUUGAGGCCCGGCUUACUCCCUUGCUGGGUAUGGGGAAGGGGCGUCUUCUGUCCUUGUGGUCCGCUUCUAGGCUUUUUGGAGCAUCUUCCAGGGUCACUCCAGAGACCCCCCCAGACUACUGAAUCUGAAUCCGUUAGGGUGGUCCAACCUUCCUCUUCAGGUGUCUACUAGAGGCAAGGUUGGAUGUAUGCGGCUGCCCUCAGUACAGCCCCUUCCUUGUUUUUUCUUCAUUUGUGUUUACUUAAAACAUUAAUCCUUUUCUCCCUCUCCUCCAUCCCUCUCCCUCCCCUACUAUACAGUUAUUGACUUACACUAAUUCAUUCCCGAUGAUCUCCCAGAAGGAAAUAAGUGUCUGUCUGUCUCUGUCUCUGUACCAUCGUCUUCUUGGUACAGUUCGGACUAUUUUUUCUCUACACCCCAGUUAUGCAAAGUGUAGUCCCUGAACCAGCAGCCUCAGCAUCCUGAGGGAAUUUGUUAAAAACGCGAAAUCUCAAGCCCUACCCAGACUUACUGAAUCAGUGUCUGCAUUGCAACAAGAUCCCCUGGUAAUUCCUAUGCACAUCAAAAUUUGGAAGGCACAGCUCUCAACUGAUGUCCUGGGUCUCCUUCACAUCCAUCCUGGGAAGGUCUUAUUCCUCAUUCCUGAGGUGAGUUCCCUAUUUCCUGAGUCUGUGUCUUUUUCUUGAUUAUAUAGCCUCAUGUUGUGGAACAUAUCCGCCAAUAGUUCCUUGAGGGAGGUUGCUUCCAGGUCUUUUUUCCCACAGAGCGUGCAGGUCUGGAACUGUUUUUAUUCUGGCUGAGUUCUAGGUUGAAAAUAACUUUCACUCGGAAUAUUGGAGGGCUUGCUCCACAAUAUUUUAGCUUCCAAAAUUGUUGAGAAACUCUACGUCAUUGCAUUUCCUUCUCCUUCUCAGGUCACUAAAUUUCUUGUUAUGUAACCCGCUUUGGUUUCGGUUUUGUUUUGUCUCAAGAAGCUUUAGGAUCUUCUCUUUAUACCCAGCGUUCUAAGACACAAUCGAGUGUCUUUCUUAUGGGUCUUUUCUCAUUCCUAUUGAUCAGUUUUUCAAUCCUGAAACACAUGUUCUUCCGUUAUGGGGAUUCUCCUGGUAUUAUUUAUUUGAUCGUUUCUUUCCGCCCUCUCUUAUUUUAUCUCUUAUUUUUUGAAAUUUGUUAUUUAGAUCGUGGACCUUCUUGGCUGAUGUUUUUUCUUACCUGUCUGUCCUAUUUUCUAUCCCUUCAUCUUUUUAUUCUACUUUCUCUGUGACUUUUUCAACUUAAUUGGACAAAUGAUUAUCAGAUUACUUUAUUUCUUUUAUUAUACCUUCAUUUCUAAGUGCCCUUUUUAUUCUCUGUUCUUUUAUAGCAUUACAUUAUUGUUUCAUGAAUAUACCUCCUUUACUCUCUGAAGAUGUAAAUUAUAGGAGUUUUAAAAUACUUUCUACAUAACUCUGCAUUGAUUUUGAUUCUUUGAGUUUUUUUUGGUUGUUUGUUUGUUUAUAUUUGGUCCCUGUCGUUUCUGCUAGAGGCGUUCUUCAUCUUGUGUAGUGAUCCCUGCUGUCAAUUUAUAUGUAAAAGUGAUGCUCUAAAAAGGUGCUUUGGGGACAUAGGCAAGGCUUGUUCACUGCUGGACAAGGUGUAAGAUGGUGGGGCAAGGUGUAAGAUGGUGGGGCAAGGUGUAAGAUGGUGGGACAAGGUGUAAGAUGGUGGGGCAAGGACCAGCUGUUUAUUUUCUUCUAGAGAGUAAUCUUCUAAUUACUUGCUUUGAGAAUAUAUAGCCUUCUUGGAGCCCAAUGCGGGAAAGAGUUUGGGAGACUUAGUAAUUUCAUUAUAUGCACUGAUGCCCUGUGUUAGUUGGGGUUCUCCAGAGAAACAGAGAAUGAAUAGAUAUCUAUAUCUAUACCUAUAUCUCUAUCUAUCUAUUAGCUCAUGUGAUUAUGGGGGUUGAGAAGCCCCACAAUCUGCUGUCUGUAAGCUGAAGACCCAGAAAGCCCAUGUUGUAGUUUAAAGCCCUGAUAACUGGAGAUGGUGUAGAUUCCAGUCCGAGUUUGGAGUCCUGCAAACCAGGAUCACCGAGGGCAGGAAAAGAUCAAAAAUUCAGUUCAAGAAGUCUAGCAGAGAGAAAGUGAAUCCUCCCUUCCUCUACCUUUUUGUUUUAUUCAGACCCGAAAUGGAUGAUGCCCACCCACAUUGCUCAUCCCACUGAAGAGCUAUGGCACUUCCAAUUCCUGAGCCUUUGUGAGGUUCUGCGUGUCAGUAAGCUUGCUUCCGGGCAUCACCUCCGAAAACACUUGGGUUUCAGUUUUCUCUGGUAAGUCCGUAUGUUCACCAGUACAUUAGCUCCCUAAAGCUGCCAUACAAUUACCACAAACUGGGUGGCUUAAAACUAUGGAAAUUUAUUCCCUUACAGUUAU
rnacentral:lncRNA from 1 species